GACGAACGCUGGCGGCGUGCUUAGCACAUGCAAGUCGAACGGAAAGGCCCUGCUUUUGUGGGGUGCUCGAGUGGCGAACGGGUGAGUAACACGCGAGUAACCUGCCCUUGACUUUGGGAUAACUUCAGGAAACUGGGGCUAAUACCGGAUAGGAGCUCCUGCUGCAUGGUGGGGGUUGGAAAGAUUCGGCGGUUGGGGCUGGACUCGCGGCUUAUCAGCUUGUUGGUGGGGUAGGGGCUUACCAAGGCUUUGACGGGUAGCCUGCCUGGGAGGGUGGCCGGCCACAUUGGGACUGAGAUACGGACCAGAAUCCUACGGGAGGCAGCAGUGGGGAAUAUUGCACAAUGGGCGGACGCCUGAUGCAGCAACGCCGCGUGCGGGAUGACGGCUUUCGGGUUGUGAACCGCUUUCGCAUGUGACGAAGCGUGAGUGACGGUAAUGGGUAAAGAAGCACCGGCUAACUACGUG
rnacentral:rRNA from 1 species